GGGCCUGUAGCUCAGAGGAUUAG
rnacentral:tRNA from 1 species